UACGUAGGGCGCAAGCGUUGUCCGGAAUUAUUGGGCGUAAAGAGCUCGUAGGCGGUUUGUCGCGUCUGCUGUGAAAUCCCGAGGCUCAACCUCGGGCUUGCAGUGGGUACGGGCAGACUAGAGUGCGGUAGGGGAGACUGGAAUUCCUGGUGUAGCGGUGGAAUGCGCAGAUAUCAGGAGGAACACCGAUGGCGAAGGCAGGUCUCUGGGCCGC
rnacentral:rRNA from 1 species